ACAACAGUUGUGUUUACGUCGUUUCUUGUGUGCGCGGUUCACGGGCGGUUGCAUUCCUUAUUAACCGGAGGCUCGCAAAAGCACGAAGGCAGAAUUGAGUUUGCUUAAUUGACGACGGGUAAUCUGGAGAUUUAUGCGAAUCUGCACCUCGGAAUAAUCUAAUAGCCAGGUUUUUGUAUCUGAAAGGUACGCGUCCUUUAAUUGGCGCGUAGUCACGGUGAGGGAUAAUGAAAUGAGAUUUUGAAAAGAUGUUAACUUUGUUGUUUUGCCGAUGGGUCUCGUGUCACCUUGAAUGUAUUGUUUCGAGUGGGGAAGAUAGGCCGGAUUAUUGGAAGUAUCUGGAAUCUUUAAAUCCACUUCUUAAGUAGUCCAGAGUUUUGUAGACACUGAAUAUAAAGAAAUGGGUUUUUUAUUUAGGAGUUUUGAAGAUUUUAUUGUAAGGAACGUUUUGUUAUAAGUAAAGCCUCUUUCAAUUUUACAAACGUAAUGUAUGUAUCAUUUUCGCGUUGGUGAACGAAAAGAGAAACGUUGCUUAGUGUAUUUGUAAAAUAAUCAUUUCUGCGAUACCGUGUUCGGGAGUAAAAUAUUUUCACAUUAAAUGUCAUGUGUCUGUACGUAAUCGUAAUGCCGUGACGCAAUCACCGUUUGGAGCAUGGUUGGUCAUACGAAUUAGCAACUGUACUUAGGCAUUGAAGAAUAAUUCCGAGGACGAUGUGAACGCUCGAGGUUCAUAUCUAGAUUGGCCGGUUGUCAGAACAUGCUGGACAUUGGAAGUCGGUCGUUUCAAGGAUAAUUACAUUUCAGAG